GGGCCCGCUGGAGCUGCCGUUCAGAGGGCGAAUGCGACCCACGCUGAUUCCGAGCCUGUGUAAUGACGAGCCGUUCCGCCAGGGAGGUGCGUAGACUGUUCGAGGACCCGUCUAUUUUCAGACGAUCCAAUUUUUUUUUGCACAAUCCAAACCUACAAAUCUCAUGCGUCAAACGUGAUGGGUUUCAGACAGAGAUCACAGAGGAAGGGGAAGCGGGGAACCAAGAAUGUGACCAGAGCUCAACAAAGGGCACAGGAAGAAGGGGACAGGGGAAGACGCCCCCCUGCUGAGGAAAGGCGACAGUCUGGGCCUGCCCCAGAGAAGAUGACCCUGUCUGAAGGCCGCAGGGGAGGAAGCGCACAGGGAGGAGGCCGUUCUGGGAAGUGAGGACACAGCCAGGGGAGAGCAACAAGCUCAAUUAUAGAAAGAGCCGCAGGCAGAUCGGCUGGAGGAGGGAGUGUUUGGAAUUUGAGACCGUGAGCAGGCCAGAAGUGGGGGAGUCAGAGAGGACGGGGAGAGAGAAACCUUGGGGGCAGCCAGAGGAGGAAUGAACUCCACGUCCAGAGCGAGCUCCCGGAGCGGGAGAGCGUGCGAGGCCACAGACAGAGCUAACGGCGAACUUGAGAAAUAAAGCCAAACCAAACCGAAACGAAGGAAAAGGAAAGGAAGAGAAAACAGACCGUGUACCUUCAGUGAGAGGAAUGGGAAGCACUCGACUGUGUGGAAUUCGUUUGAUCACGUGGGUUGUUAAUUCUUUCUGGGGGUCAUGCAUUUGCAUAUGGAAUAUGUAAACACCUCAAGAGGGUCAACUGCGGAGAAAUAAGGCCCAGGACGGGGAAAGGGUGUCUGAGUUAGAGCCCCACGAGGUUCACCUAAGGAUUCGGAGGGGUGUGACCCUAGAGAACCUGGAAAGUGGGCUGACCGGGAGUCCGUUACCUGACGGCUGUUGGUGCCACUUGGGAAAAACUCACGACGCUUGUCCUCUGUGGGAUACGAGGCUUGAGCAGUGGGCUAGACUAGUCUACUGUUUGUCUUAAAGAAGAAAGCAUCUCUUCUGGUUGACGGUGACAGUAGGUAGCACUGCGGUCCCCAGGAAUUGUGGAAGGUGGCCUCUCUGUGUCUUAGGCCUUGGCAGGGGGCUUCCCCUAACAAUAAUCACUUAAGGACUGCAAUAGCUAGCAUUUAUUGGGGGUCCCAUCUCAGUACUGUGCUAAGCUCUUGAAUGUAGACCAUCUUCAUUAUUUGUGGAUUCUAUAUUCACCUACUUGCUAAAAUUUAUUUGUGACUCCAAAAUUAGUACUCACAGAGCUUUUGUGGUCUUCACAGAGCAGAGAGAAAUUUGAGUCCCCUGACACGCAUGUGUGAUCCCGGCUGAGGUCCAACGGGGUGACACACUGUGUCUUCAAGUUUCGGCUCUCAUGCCGUAAACAAGUGUCCUUCUUGGGGUCUAUGCGGUGCCAUGGUUUUCACAGUUUCGUGCUUUUUGUUGGUGAUCUCACUGUUUGAAGUGGCCCCCAAGUGUAAUGUGACAGUACUGUCUCAUGUUUCUGAGCACAAAAAAGCUGUGAUCUGCUCUAGGGGGAAAAUAUACGUGUUAGAUAAGCUUUGUUCCAGCCUGAGUUAGGGUGCCGUUGGCUAUGAAUUUGAUAUUAACGAAUCAAUCCUAUAUACUAAAUAAGGGGUCUUUAAACAGAAACACAUAUAAAACAAGGUUAAAUAUUGACCAAUUGGCAAAAAUGUGACCGAGACUCUCAAGAACCUGGCUUUGAAGCCCCCCUAGGACGGUAGAUUGGUUUCGGCUUGUUCGGUGUUGAUGGUGAUUUACAGGACAGAACCACCAGAAAUAGUAAGAACCGACUCUAUAUUAUUUCACGUAAUAGUCACAAUUCCAGAAAGUAAUCUCAUUUUUUAAUAAUAAAAAAAAAAAUUAAGAGAGGUUAAAUGUUGCGUUCCAAGCUUCCCCAAUGACAAACAAGGAGGAGCCAGCUCUGACCUUGGAGCCCCAGCUCACGGUGACCUCGCACGAUGCAGGGAGGGCUUCAUUCAUGAGCAGCCGUGCCGUGCCGUGGCCCCAGGACACUCCUCGAGCUGUUUAAUGGGGAUUUAAAGCAGAAAUGAAAUUUCUGAAAUCACAGGUAGAGAAAAAACCAGGAAAAUGCUCUUUGUUAUUGUUGCUAUGAACUGUUUAUAUUCCCGAAUGCUAUGGCCUGGGGGCCGUGGGGCUCCUUGAGGCUCUGACCAGGCUUGGAAGAGGAUAAAAUGCUAUGCACGUAUGUAGUACCCUAGGAGAACGCUGGGCGGGAGCAGGAAAUUCUAGUUCUAGUCCUGAUUCUGCCAGUAACUUGCUUCCAACCUUUGAGAAAGCCUUCUUCAUAGCCUUAUACCAUUGCUGCUCUACCUGCGAAAUGAAAGUUUUGGGUGGAUGAUUCUCUCCGCUCCAUGUUUUUAUGAUCUGAAAGCUGCAAAGCUCUGUAUGGCUUCUAACUGGGUGACCGUAAGUCCUAUCUUGCCUGGAACAGGCUUGAUCUACACUUUUUGUCUUGCCAUAAUUAUUAAUAACAUCUUUCGCUCUCAAGAGUGUGCCCGUUUGGACAAUCAAUUAUAUAGCUGCCUUGUGCUUAAGCACGAUUGUUUCUUGUGUUUUCUUGGCUGGGUCAGAUGCAAGACUGUUGGCCCUGGUCUUGUUAGUGGAGACCAGCUGUGUUUUCUGGACUCAGUGGGUUCUUGGUGUCUGGGUGUUGAGCUACUUGGUUCCUGGUCCACCUAACCUGGCUCUUGAUUCUCACUGUGGAUCGUUAUUAGAAAGUGUCCUGCUGCUAAAGCUGGGAAACAACUCUGUUUGCUUUUUGGCUCCCCAAAAGGAAAUCGUACCAGCCAGACAGUAAAAAGGGGAAAGUCUUUAGUCCUGAGAAAAAAUAGUUUGAUACAGCACUGCUGAUUCAAGGACGUAGUCCUUGUCAUAUUAGAUUUGGUGCUUUCCUUCAUCAAAUUGACUGUAAUCGUAAUGUAAUUAUGUCCACACUUAUUGAAAGUAACGAAAUUUAAUUUUGAAAUACAGAAAUAAAAAAAACUAGACUGAGAAGUGAAAUGUUGAAACCAAAACUUCCGGCAGUUUUUUGAGUCUCUACAAACAUCCUGUUGUUUGUCUUUCUAAACAUAUUGUUUCAUCCUCUUGCUGUCGUGUAAGAAAGUCACAUGAAUUACUAUGCAAAAAAUAUCUUCAGUGUUAAAACAUUAUAUUCUCCCUCUUCCAUUCAAAUUCAAUAGAAAUAAAGCACAAAAAAGAAAAUAGUUAUGUCUAUUGUUAUUCUUUCUAGUAGGUUGAAAUGCGCUAUAUAAUUUUACUACACGAUUGCUAAUUUGCUUAGCAAAGCAUUUCUCUUCCUGCAUAGUGAAAUACAAACUUUAGCACAGGCCAGAUUAAAUAAUCUUCGACUUUCUGAAUAUAGUUUGGAAAAUUAAAUGAUUAAUUAGUCUAAUUUUCUAAUCUGUGUUUCUGAACCAAACUCUCCUUAUUUAACUUUCUAGGUAAUCUAAGUUAUUUAACUUUCUGGGUCAUCUUCAGUUAUUCAACCCAGAAAGUAUAAUCUGUUAACGAUUAAACAGAUAUCACCAAACUGGUAUUUUAAUUGAAAUACUGUUUCUGCAUGCUGCUCACAGGCUAGAAACAAACCAUUUCUCGGUUGCAAUUCCUUGCUUCCUGGAAAAAACUAUUUUUUUUUUUUUCAGAAAGAAGUGUUGGGGGAGAAGUUGUAUAUUUUGCAAACCUGAUUGACAAACUUGUGUCUGCUAUUACAACCUUUUGGGACGAUACCGAGAUGGGGUGGUUAUUGGCUAAAAGAUCAUAUUCCUUGGAACUUGCCAACCAUAACUUCGGAUGUAAAGCCGUGCCCUUGAUGGUCUAAAACAAAGAUGUUGAAGCUGCCCCGUGUCCUUGCCUCUGAAAUUCUUGCUUUGUGGUCGGGAAAUGACCCGAGGCAGGCCCAGAGCCUGGGGGGUUCUGCUGGUUUAUGCCCUAACGAGGAAGAAACCAGCAGCAGCUCAUAUCUGGUUCAGUUUUGAGUUUAAAAUAGCAUCUGCUUGCUGUCUUUGCCAAAAAAAGGGGCAUUUUGAUCAUACGAGCCAACAGCAAAAGGCAUUUUGCAUUUUAUAAAAACAAAACAACAACGACAAAAAACCUGUUUGUUGCUGGUUUCUUACAGUUUCCACAAUUAUCUGAAUUUGAAAUGCUGAAUGUUGUUAGGACAUUUUUACUUUGUUACUGAGACACGUGUUAAGUAAAAACCUUUUAUGAUGUUGGGCCUUUAGGCUUAGUCUGUUUUCUGUUAAUAAUCCUUCUUAUUUGAUUAUGAAAAAAAUAAAACAAAACAACUGUUGCCUCUUUGCCUGGCGUCUGGUUCAAGACAUUUGACUUUGAAAUGCUGGCCUAAGGAGAAGAUUCUGCGGUUGCUAUUUGCUGAGCCAGGAACAAUGGAGGUUGCUGUGUUCGUUGGACUCAGGUACCCCUGUCACCCGUCUCCUCUCCAGCUGUGUUCUCAUACUUUGAAAGUCUCGCGAGCACAGACCUCACUUUGGGCAUGACCGUGCAUAGUUUCACCUUCCUCUUUCAUCCAAGAUUUGCGGGAAAAUCAAAAGUCACGUGGUAAUCAGCUCACAUCAUGAACUACGGGCAAAGAUUGAGCCAGCCGCUCCUGGGGACACCGAUCACGGGUAAGACCGCGUCACACAAGUGAGGUAGGCGAUGACCCAGGCUCAGAGCCAAGAAGGCCGUAGGCUUGAGGUGAUGCUGGGAGUGAUCAGUUAACACCCCACAAACUCUGCUUUGGGGUCAGAGAAGCUAUUUUUUCUCUUUGGAUUUUCUGCUCUGAGCGGGUGUCUUUGGGCCCGUCUCACGUGAGUAUAUCCUCCUGGGAGGAGGGGAUCGUAGGUGUUCGCCCUUGACGGGAGUAGGCUCACAGGAGAUAGGACUCUUGAAGAGCUUUCCCCUGCAUAACUUUCAUUUUCUCACGGUUAGAAACAAAACUAAACAAUUUAAGUAAUUGUGUUUCAUGGAAAUCAAGAAAGAAAAAACGGUGACUGUGAAGUCAUGGACCAUAAUGCUCACACAUAUACGGGAAGAUUCUGAGAACGGAGAACAUCCUGUGCAAGGAAAUAAUGAAGCAAGUCCCCCAACAUUCUGAUGAACCUAAAUAUAUUUAAAGUAACAAAAAUGCGAAGAGGGCCCUUCUGAAGUCACGAAAUCUGCAGAUGAAGCAAAGAACCGAUUUUGAUUUUACUGAAAUAAAAGGAGAUUUAUUUGUCUGUGGGCAUCAGCGCCAAACCAGGUCUAAGCAGGGGUUUGCAGCAAAGAAAGGAAACGUUUAUUUAAGGAAAUGGCACCAAGGUGAGCUAGCGCUCAAAGGCUGGCUCCCAGAUGCCCCUAGGGAACGGGUUAUGCAGGGGCAAGAUUAUUAGCCAUGGCGGCUGAGGGAGUUCGGGUCGUGGGCCAUGGCAAUGGUCAGGGUUAGCGUACGAGGCAGCUGGUCAUUGAUCAAGACCUGAGGUCAGUCAUGGCGUCAUUCUGUUUGGUCUCGAGGGGAGGUGGCCUGUGGGAUCAGUCCUCCUUCAUGGGUGUGGAGCUGAAACGCAGCUGAGGUCAAGAUGUUAUCUUUGGUUUGACCGAAACUGUUUCUGUGGUCAACAGACCUGAGGCUUUGUUCCUAAGACUGUUUGAUGCUGCCCAAAAUCUGAUGUCCGAAGGGCGUAAUGAUUAAGGGAGUGGGCGCGCAGGUGUGUGAAGGUGGAGGGAGAAGCCAAGAAAAGAAGUGAGUACAAGGCCAGUGUGAAGCCAGGACAAAGCGAAGAGCCAAAGGCAUUUUAAACAAGUGAAGAUUUGCACGGUCACAGCCGUGCGCUCACCGCGAGGCGCUGAACACAGGGCGCAGGGAGGGGAUUCACCAGGUGCGUUUAGUGGGUGGGCAAGGUCGGAAUGAAAUGACCAAGGCAAGGAGCCCAGGGGAAAAGAGACAGGUUUUCUUUUCCUCAUCUUAAAAAAAAAAAAGUUUGAAAUGUCCCAAAGGAUGAGCAAAGGGCUUUUCUUCAAAAGAGAAGGAGCUAUUCCUGAGACCGAGCAGGUGGAAGGAUGGAAGCUGGUCGCCUUCUCGUAGGAAGGACGGGGCUGGAGAAACCGCGGAGAGAAUUUCAUCCAGCUGUUGGAGGUCUCGCAGGACAAGGACGUGAGACUUGACUCAUCGGCAGGUCCACGUGAUGAACUGAAAACGCCCCCGAGGAGAAGAGAAAGGCUUGGUCUUUUUUUUUUUGGCAAUAAAUAAUGACAUAACUGUUGAAAUGUGAUAAAGAGAUUGAUAAAGAUCACAUUAUAUUUAGGCGUAUUCCUUCAAAUUUUCUUCUCUAUGACACUGUGCCUUAUACAGGUGAAAUAAUUCAAUAUGACAAUGAAUGCUUUUUGCUAACAAUUUUUUUAGUUUAAAAAGCAUAAUUAUCUCUUUUCUUGCUUCUGUCGGUUUGUUCCUGAUUGAGGAAGGCCCGUCUGUAGACCCUUUGUCCCCGUAGGAGGAGACAGCAGUGUUUACAUGGUGGCAUGCACUGUAUUUUGAGAUUUAGUGCACACGUCAUAUGACUGGCUUUGAACGUCUAUACCAAUUGAGUGAUGGCAAAUGGCAAAUGUUAAACCCUAGAAACAACAAAUAAUCACUGAGAUCAUCGUAAGGGAGAGAAGACAAGCUUUGGAGCCAGAAGGAUCUGGGCUCAAAGCCCAGCUGCAGGGUAACCAGCUGUGUCACCUGUAACUGCUGUGAGCAGCUUCCCAUCUGCAUUAGCUGUAAUUUCUAAUACGCUGUACUGUUGUAGGAAUUAGAUAUAAUAUAUGCAAACUGCUAACAUGGUGCCUCACAGAGCUUUGGGGCCUUAGGGCUCAUUGCUGCUAUUACAGAAUACCGUGAGACCAUUUCCAGGAGUAUGAAUAUUAGAUGCAUGGAGUAUCUUAAACCCAGUGAUUUAAAAAAAAAUCCCUCCGAUCAUCUAAAGUCAUAACACAGCAAAUCUGAAAAUGGUUAUUGGAAGUAUUAAGAACUACAAAAUUUCUGUCCAAACUAGAAAUAUUUUUGGCCUCGCCUCGAGUGACUGACUGUCCUGUUUUGCCCCAAACUGAAGGAGUCGCUAGAAUGUGGGACUUUCGGUACGAAACCUGGGAAAGUCCCAGGCAAACCAGGAUGAGUUAGUCACCCUAGCCCCGCCUCACAGUUGUCUGGCCUUUUUGCUACAACUGGGAUUCUCUUGGACUGGCAGCUUUACUUGGAAAUCAAUUAGAAAUGCAAAUCCUUGGGUCCCAACCCACACCUUCUGAGUCAGAAACCCAGGCCUGGGCCCAGCAGUCUGGGUUUAAAUAAGUUCUCCAAAUGAUUUUAAGCCAUGCAGCAUGCUAAAGUUUGACGAACAUUGCUCUACAAUACGUCGCUUAUAUCAGACUAAGAUAUUUUGUGAAGAAGAAUAGAAAGACACAAUGUAUUGAGCCUAUUUUAAUUUCAGACUAAGAUAUUUUGUGAAGAAGAAUAGAAAGACACAGUGUAUUGAGCCUAUUUUAAUUUCUUUUUAAGACACGAGUCAGCGUUUUCAUGGCUGGUAGUCCCAUUACGAAAAAUUCAAGUUGUCUAUCAUUUAAUUGCUGAGCUCCAACAGCGAAGAACGAGAAACGAGAAAGAAAAUGACACACUGAGGCUAGGAUAAUACUGCAGCUCAGGAAAUUACACCCGUUGAGGUUCUGAGGGGAGGUGGGUAAGGAGAGUUGAGUUAUGCAAACUAAAAUGUGGGUUAUAGUCUAACAGCUCACCUACCUUUGCCAGGUGUCAUGCACUCAGCGUCCCGAACUGGGACUAGGGCAGGAAGUGUGUGGGUAGGGCUACAUGAUAUUUCUGGAAGGAAACAGCCAGGAGCCUCCCAAACUAAUGCCAUUUUAGUCUCUUUAGCAACCAUACCAGUCAGAGCCUCGGAAAGGCUUAGGUUCCUUUUGCAAAGGAAACCAAGGGAAUUUUCGUAAUACCUCGUCACUAUUAUUAAGGUAUGACUUGAAACAUUUGAAUGUCUAAGACACAGGACGAUACAACAAUUUAUUUUAUUCCAUAAUAUUGAAAUCUUCACACCAAGCCCCUCAGCAGCUAACAGGGUUUCCUCUGUGAGGGGUUAUCUCUUUUUGUGGGGAGUGGGAUGGGGGGAGGAAGAAACAGCCAAAUACUAUCACACCGAUGAGUGGAAAUGACUGGCGGAACGGGCCGCUAAACUCCAAUUGUCACCACUGUUCCCGUAGGGAGUCUGGGAAUGUUAGCGGAAGACGAAGGUGACACCACUUGAUUAUUUUCCAUCGAUUGCCUUAAUGUUUGCAUAAAAUAUGAUAUAAGCACGUGUCAUCAUUAGAUUUGCCACAGAUCCUAAUUCUUCCUCCAAUACUAGGCCUAACCAUGCCUUUCUUUCCCAAGAAGAACUAUCUUUGACCAGGUAUAAAAUCAGCCGUGGCUUCCUCCAUUAACCCUUCCUCCUCAACCCACUGCCGAGUCCUAGAGGUCAAGUCCUCAUCUUGCUAAACCCAGGACUCACAAAGGCCAACGUUUCUGCUAGCGUGUGCUAAUUUUUGUCUUAGUUGAAAGUAUAUCUUUUCUAUUAUGCUCUCGAAAUGUUGGAUAAAUUUAACUCGAAAAGAAAUAUGAUGCCACUAGCUUUGUACCUGCUUAUGAGUUGUAGGUCUCUCUGUCUGAUUACGGUAAGCUAAGCCACAUUCUAGGCAGGUGACAUUCAAUGACAAUACCGCCCCAGCAAAUUGGUUUAAUUAGCAAUCUCAAAGGCGGUCAUUUAAAUAGAUGGCAGAUAACCUUUACACGGUCUCACAUUAUUUUUCAUUAAUUACCAAAUAAAACUAGAUAUUGAAGCUUCUUCAUAAUGGAAUAAGGAACUCACACUUGAAACACUGUGUAUUAAAGAUACCUGUAGCUUAUUCCUCUCUUUAAAAAAAAUGCAAAUGGCAUCUUUACUUUAUUUCAAACCCCAGCCCUGAUGGCUGUCCAAACGUUAUGGCAGACAUAACUUCUUGAGCCACUAUAGGAAGGACAGGUAAACACUGAGUUAGCAAUCUUUAAAAUCAGGAAUAGGAGUACAAAGGGAUAGGAUUUGAAACUUCACGACCACUCCCUGUUCCUGUUCAAUUCUCUUUUUUCUGCUCCCUAAACCAAUGGGGGUGAGAGAAGGGCCACACUUCUGCGGCUCUUUCUGAAAAGUAGAAUUGAAUUUGGGAAACAAAGAUGGACGGAGGGUACAGAAGGAACAAGCCGGCGAGUAUCUCUCCUGACAGACUGUUUUCCGGCAUCAGCUCAGUGUGCCUAAUCCCCCAGAAUUCAAGGAAACACUCUGAGCUGCUUUAUGUUAUUUCUCUCUUCCUAAUUCUGGGGCCAAUGUGAAAAGAAAUCUAAAGGUGAAAGAAAGGCAGACAAUUCAACACCGAGCAAGUCCAGGCUGGAGAGGGCCAGCAUUCGCCACGGUCUGCACCCAAGAGGGGGAAGCAAAACAUGUCUGGCGUGAUGCUCGGCUGGGAUCUGCAUCAUGUCCCAUUACUGCGGACAUCUCUGAAUCCCAGUUUGGAGCCAGGAAUCAAGAGGAACCCUCCCCGCACCUGCCCUACUGAGUUCUGCCUCCACGAAGCUCCACUCGACACUUCGUCCCAUCCCGAGCCACAGCCUCUGUAACCCUGUCCUCCAGGUGCCCUGCCAGCAGCGUCUUCUGCGUUGGCAGAUAACCCCCGAAGUGCUGAGCCUAAAGGCAGAGCUGCAAGGAAGGAUCUGCUCACUGGGCUGGCUACCUGUUGCUUCCAACGUCACAUACCAGUUUGUCGCUUUCACUCCCAAAGGGAAGGAGAGCCCUCCUGCACAUCAGUGAGAAAUGUUCACUUCUCAUUGGUCGAUGGAUUGUUUUUGCCAUCUUUCUACACGAGAAGACAUUGACUCGUGGGCCCGCUGGGGAAAGGCAUUCACUGCCUCCGUGGGCUGAAAUUUUAGCUGUCUCAUCAGGACAAACGUGAAAGAAUAGAUUUAUGAAAUUUGGAUGAUAGUGAGUUUUCCUCAAGUCCUAAGAUAUUUUAUUUCUGUCUCACUUUCUUUAAAAAAUAUAGAACACUGAAUUGAAGCUGAAAGAGUAAUUUUGAAGUGUGAACGGUUUAACUUAUUGUACGUGUUCAAAUUUCUAUUUUGCGGCUCCUUUCAAGAGCCUAAUCAUUAUAAUCUAAUCACGCAAUUAAAAAAUUAUAUACUGCUGAAAACAAUUACACUAGAUGCUUCCAAUGGGAUAAAUUCAUUUGGAAAUUUAAGACACAAAGACCAAAUCUACAGAAGAUACCGGCUCAGUGACACUUCUUAUUUAUACCAAUUUAGUUUUAUUGCCUGAAUGUAUGAGAUAUUAUAAAAAAAAAAAAAAAUGAAAUAAAAUCUUUGCAAUGAGGGAUUACAGAAUGGCAGAUCUAUUUAUCUUCCUUUACUAAAAACAGUUCUUAAAAGUUGGAUCGUGACUGAGAGGAGAAAAGGGUGAAGAAGCAGAAUGUCGCCAAGCACAGAGAGAUUCACAGUCCCCCUCAUCCCACCGCUGGACCAGUCCCAUGAGGUGGGCGUUAGAGUCCCACUGUGAGGCUGGGGAAAUGGAGGCUCGAGGAAAUUGAGCACCGAGGCUGAAGAGACAGAGAGAUGGAGAUUAAACCAUCAUUUUUCUCACGGAUGGGAAGGACUGGAAAAUCCGGCGUCACACCUGUGAGCGAGUGGGCCUGCCCGAGCUCCCACAGAACUAGAAGUUCUCGCCCUCCGGGUCCCUGUGACAGCGCCAGCGCGGGCCUCCCGUCCCCAGGGCCGAACACCGCUCCGGAUAGUCACCCACAAAUGUGACGAGACAAAGGAGUAUGUUGGGGACAGGCGGGGAGGAGACAUCACACUGCGGAGCCGAGUGCCUGGGUUCCUCUCCCAGGCUCCCCCGCGGGACGGUCACUCCUCGUCCUCUGGGGAGAGAUAAAAAUGGCAUCUCCCCAGGGGCAGUUGCGAGGACAGUGACAAACACUGGGUCAACUAUAGGAUAGUUUAUAUUUCUAAGAAACAGAGCGCAUACUGCCAGAAGCUUAAGAAUCUAUUGAGAACAAUCUAAGGAGUUUAAAGAGAGGCGGCAGGUGGAGUCGAACCGGGUUUUCAGGUACCUCGAUGACCGCAGAUGAGUCACCACAUUGUGCAACUAUUUUCUUAGUUGUCCACAUCCAGCAGGCCCAGUGCUAAAUGACAAGUAUGACAGCUUUUCGGAGCAGAAUAAGGUGACUGUUACUUCAGGAACUGAGGAGAGAUAGGCCUGGGAAAGUGGUUGUAAUGAUUUUCUUCAGAACUGAUAACAAGAAUUAAUAACAUGAAAGAGAAGAAUCUUCGUGAGACAUGUCUGCAGGCAGCUCGGUCCUUUAAUUCAGAGCAGAAUUGUUUUAAUUUUUAAUAGUUUAGGAUGUAAUAGAUAAAUUAAUUAAAUUAGUUCAUGUUGUUCAAACAGUCAUAGUAUCAGUUAUUUCCGGUAAUGCAUAGCACAACAAUUCUUUUCCUAUUUAGGAGCCAGGAAUAAGCAGCGGAGGAGCAUAGUUAGAAGUAAACAGUACCACUAAUUCGAAAAAAACUAUUUCCAGCUCAUUGAAUUGUUUUUUAAUUUCCUCCUUUAUCUCCUUUAUUGUGUCUAAGAUAUUCGCAUCGCUCAAAUAUGAUCUUUAUAUGUUCUGCUUAUGAUAUUAAAUACACAAAUUUUAUUUUAGUAGUGCAUACAGAAACGAUCCCAUGUAGUCUGGAUAAAGGAGAUUUAAAGUACAGGUUACAAAGGAUUAAUUUUAUGUAUAAAUCCCAUUUUUACUCAGUUAGCCAAGGAAGUUCCUCACUUGUAAAACCUUCACGAGAGUUAACUAUAAAUAUACCGGAGGCAAAGCUGGGGAUUUGGGACAAUAAUUUAUGAUUAAAUCCAAUCUUUUAAUCUAGCCUUCGAGAGUUGACUAUGAAACCUCUGUCCUCAGAGCUUUGCCCCUUUUAAUUAUAAUUCCUUGUAUACUCAUUGAUUUAGGGAGCUGGAAGAUUCACCUCCUAAAAUAGGGCACUUCCUGAAUGGGAAUCUGUUUAAAAGAGUGUUUGACAUAUCAUGUAGCUGCAACCCUUUCGACAGGCAGUAGCUAUUGGUAUAAAAACCAGCAGUUAAAUCUCAUAUUCACCUCUGUUCUACAUACAGCAUAUGCUUACAUAUUCUUAUUGUAUGUCUACAGUUUAACUCCAUUUUCCAAAUCUAACCUAGCCUGCUUCCUUCCUCUGGGGCAAGAAAAGCAACUCGUAAAGUCAUCUGAGCAUCAUAACCUUCAGGUGGUAUCUUCUGGGCUUGAAGGUUUGCCAGAGGUGCUGUGUGUUGGCUCACGCCACUCAACAGGAAGUCUGCACUGAACCCACAUCUCUGAUCACCUGUUGCCCUGAGGAAUAUUCACCCCGGAACAUUCACCAGAUUGUCUUAAUUCACCUGUCUCCUGCUUUGUGUCACUCAGCCCUAAGGGAAGAGAUUGAACUGUUUAAAAUAGAUCUCUAUUUUAAUUCUACGGUUAGAAGAUUGGAAUUUGACUCAAAAAUCUACUUGUUCUAGCUCCAGUGGUUCUGGUGAAUAUUAAAAGAGGGAAAAUAUAUUUUAAAAAAUAUGCUCCAGCAAAUCUGUAGCAUCUUUUUUAUAAGCAAAGCAUUAAACAUCACCCACUUGCUGGCCACUGCUCCCCACCUUGGUCAUCUGAAGUCAAUCACUGCUGU